CAGGGCGUGCCCGGCCUUCGGCGCAGCUGCUGGGCAAUGGCGGUUGGAGCGGCGCCUCCGCGGCUUGUGAGCGGCCUCUGGCUGCCUUCCCGGACGGCCCCGAGGACGGUGGAACUCGGGAGGCGCCUGGAGGGUUUCCCGGCCCCGGUUCCGGAGGCGAGAGGGCCGUGCCCCAACGGAGUCACCAACGUCGGAAACCGCUGCCUCGGGCAGAGUUGCAACGGCUGGCAAGAGGAGAAGAGGACCUGGUGGAAGACUUGGAUUUUUCCGAUGGAAACUGAUGGAUGGACAGAUUUUUUGGCGGGGUGUAACUGGACAGCUGUUGCCACUUGUGGAGGGCCAAGGAAGGGACUGCAUUGUUCCAGCUGGCCCUGAAGCCGAGUUGAUGCAUUGGAGGGAAAUGCCAGAAAAUUUUGUCAUCCAGCAGGGAAGUCUAAAAAGACCACAUUGGCUGCAAAAAACCCCCUGCCUCUUUAGAAUAAUAAUGUGGGUUCUGAAAACCAUCACAAAAUAAUACCUACUUUAAAA